rnacentral:rRNA from 1 species
AGGGCGUAUGGCGGAUGCCUAGGCUUUCAGAGGCGAAGAAGGACGUGGUAAGCUGCGAAAAGCUACGGGGAUUGGCACACACGAAAUGAUCCGUAGAUAUCCGAAUGGGGCAACCCAGUAAGUUGAAGACUUACUACACCGUAAGGUGAGCGAACCCGGAGAACUGAAACAUCUAAGUACCCGGAGGAAAAGAAAUCGAAGAGAUUCCGUAAGUAGUGGCGAGCGAAAGCGGAUUAGCCCAAAAGUUUAUAUAUGUUUAGUGGAAUGUUUUGGAAAGAGCAAUCAUAGAAGGUGAAAAUCCUGUACACGAAAGGUAUAUAUAGAUGAAGAAAGAGUAGGGCGGGACACGUGAAAUCCUGUCUGAAUAUGGGGGGACCAUCCUCCAAGGCUAAAUACUCCUGAAAGACCGAUAGUGAACAAGUACUGUGAAGGAAAGGUGAAAAGCACUUCGAAUAGAAGGGUGAAAAAGAACCUGAAACCGUACGCCUACAAGCGGUCGGAGCAGUUAUAUACUGUGACGGCGUGCCUUUUGCAUAAUGAGCCUACGAGUUAAUUUUACUAGCGAGGUUAAGGUAUUAAGUACUGGAGCCGGAGCGAAAGCGAGUCUGAAUAGGGCGAAUAGUUAGUGGGAUUAGACGCGAAACCUUGUGAUCUACCCAUGGGCAGGUUGAAGCAUUGGUAACACAGUGUGGAGGACCGAACCGGUUGACGUUGAAAAGUCUUCGGAUGACCUGUGGGUAGGGGUGAAAGGCCAAUCAAACUGGGAGAUAGCUCGUACUCCCCGAAAUGCAUUUAGGUGCAGCGUUGAUUUAGUUUAUUAGAGGUAGAGCUACUGAUUGGAUGCGGGGGUUUCACCGCCUACCAAUUCCUGACAAACUCCGAAUGCUAAUAAAUAUUGAUCAGCAGUGAGGGCAUGGGUGCUAAGGUCCAUGUCCGAGAGGGAAAGAACCCAGACCAACAGCUAAGGUCCCUAAAUAUAUGCUAAGUUGAAACAACGCGGUUGAACUGCAUUGACAGCUAGGAUGUUGGCUUGGAAGCAGCCAUUCAUUUAAAGAGUGCGUAACAGCUCACUAGUCGAGCGGUUCGGCAUGGAUAAUAAUCGGGCAUAAGCAUAUUACCGAAGCUAUGGCAACGAAAGUUGGGUAGGGGAGCAUUCUAUCGGCGCAGAAGCAUCACUGUGAGGUGUUGUGGAGCUUAUAGAAAAGAAAAUGUAGGCAUAAGUAACGAUAAAGCAGGCGAGAAACCUGCUCACCGAAAGACUAAGGGUUCCUCAGCCAUGCUAAUCAGCUGAGGGUUAGUCGGGGCCUAACGCGAACCCGAGAGGGGAAGUGGAUGGACAAUGGGUUAAUAUUCCCAUACUUGCUCACGAAUAAAGGGGACGGUUCAGCUAGACUACUGGAGACUGACGGAAUAGUCAAGACCUAGCCUACGGGCGAAGUUGUUGUAGAGUAACUGGAUCCAAGAAAAGCCGAAGUGAAGCAACCCGUACCAUAAACCGACACAGGUAGUCGAGGAGAGAAUCCUAAGGUGCUCGAGUGAGUCGUGGCUAAGGAACUAGGCAAAAUAGUCUCGUAACUUCGGAAUAAGAGACGCCAACAGCGAUGUUGGCCGCAGUGAAGAGGAAACGGCGGCCGUAACUAUAACGGUCCUAAGGUAGCGAAAUUCCUUGUCGGGUAAGUUCCGACCUGCACGAAUGGUGUAACGAUCUGGGCACUGUCUCAGCCACGAGCUCGGUGAAAUUGUAGUAUCGGUGAAGAUGCCGAUUACCCGCAAUGGGACGAAAAGACCCUGUGAACCUUUACUAUAACUUCGUAUUGACUUUGAGUAAGUAAUGUGUAGGAUAGGUGGGAGGCUAUGAAGCUGGCACGCUAGUGUUGGUGGAGCCGUUGUUGAAAUACCACCCUUUGCUUACUUGGAGCCUAACUUCUGAAAAAGAGUAAGAAGGACAUUGCGUGGUGGGUAGUUUGACUGGGGUGGUCGCCUCCAAAAGAGUAACGGAGGCUUUCAAAGGUACCCUCAGCACGCUUGGUAACCGUGCGUAGAGUGUAAUGGCAUAAGGGUGCUUGACUGCUGGGGCUGGAGAAGGUCCCAAGGGUUGGGCUGUUCGCCCAUUAAAGUGGCACGCGAGCUGGGUUCAGAACGUCGUGAGACAGUUCGGUCUCUAUCUAUUGCGGGCGUUAGAUAUUUGCGUGGGGUUGACUCUAGUACGAGAGGACCGAGUUGAACAAACCUCUGGUGUAUCAGUUGUACCGCCAGGUGCACCGCUGAGUAGCUAAGUUUGGAAGAGAUAAGCACUGAAAGCAUAUAAGUGCGAAACUCGCCACAAGAUGAGAUAUCUUUU